CUCACAUAAAUAUAAGACCGCCUAUGUAAUAUUUUACCAGAAGUCAGAAAAAUGAGCAACAGCUUAGUCGCAUUUUUAAUUACUCUUUAUGUGUUCGGAUUUUUUCAAGUCGACGGUAUAAGACUUUUCUGCGGAUCAAAAUUACAACCGUAUAAUACAGACAGUGAAGAAUGUAUAGAAGGACAAGUAGUCAGCAAGACUUUACAAAGUACAACACAAAGCGGAUUGGCUGAAACAAAUUCAGUUUUUCAAACAGCAGAUCCCAUAAGAAACAGAGUCCGUCGUCGUCAUUGCAGAGAUAAGGACGAUAUAUUGAGCUGUAACGAUAAAAUACACUGUGGGCGUCACGAAGGUUAUAAAUGUUGUGGUUUUGAACGUUACAACCCAAACAUCCAAACAUGCUGUCAACAAUCAAGUGCCAUGUAUAGAAUACAUAAUGACAGACCCGAGGAAAGUCACAUGUGAGUAAAAUAAAAUAAAAAAAUAAAUCACGUGAACUGUGUUAUAGAAAACAUGUGAAGUACAGUGUUAGGAAAAUUCACUCUCGAAUGAAUGAAUAAACAAAUAGGACAAUAAACUAUCAAUAUCAAAUGUGGCUUUAAGAGUCAAUACUUAUCUCGUGUUUCGAAAUAAAAAUAACUACAUAACAUUUAGUCUCUAUCUUUAUAAUUUUCUUUUGCUUUUUCAUCUCAUUACUAUUCUUCUUACAUUUCAAAAAUAAAUAAGUCAUCAUACUUUUUAAAAGGGAUUUAUUUUUUAGUUGCUGUCAGUUGAAUGUACAUAUACGAGGAUCAAAAAGCAUACCAUGUGCGCACGUGACUAAUAAUGAUAUGUUCUUGCAAAAACCAAAACAUCUGAACAACCUUAAAAAAGACCAAAGGCUAUGCAGGGACUCGUUUUAUGUCUUCAGAAUCGAUUUAAGGAGUGGAGGACGCGGCGUCACGGCUGUUGUACGAAUGUGGGACUGGAAACCUUCAAAGAAAAAACUUAGAUUGAAAAAGUCUGGAGCGUUAAAAAAGAAAAUGCGUAUAAAGUUUGAUAAACACAGCAAACCCAAAAACAUUGCUAAAAAUAGUUUUCUGGUAGUUUCUAAAUAUAACUAUAUAGAGGAUUCCAAUCUAUAUUUAAAAGCAAAUGAUGUUUUGUACAGGAGUCCUAAAAAGCACAAAAACAUGAUAAGAAUAUUGCGGAAAAUUCACAACAAAUGUAAAAAACUAGAACUCUUACGUGGGAAAUAAGAAUUAUUGUUUUUAUGUAUUGUAGCACUGUAAGUAAGUUCAUACUUUUAGACUAUGCUAUAUACGUGUGCGUUCUGCGAAAUAUUUGACACCACUCGUCAUUUGAUACACAUUUAGUAUUAUAGAAUGUUAAAAUGGCAUUUUUACAAGACAUAUUUGUCGUACAUAAGCAAAAUAAAUCGCCUUGGCUUUUGACUUCAUCAGAGUGAUCUACGAUGGAAUGUGUCAUGCCUGGAACUUAAAUACAUAUUUUGAGUUGACACUAACAACGGACUUUAUCAAUAUUUUCAAUGUUACAAGCGUGACUCAAUUUUCUUUUUACAUUUUGUACUUUAAUAAGUGUCAUUAAUGAAGUUGGUGCUAGGGACGUGAGAGAUGUUGCACUUUUGUGUAGUAAAUAGAUUAAUCAAGCCAGCAAAGUCUUUCAAACAGUUGAUAGUUUUCUCCACCUACAGGUUGUUUCGAGAAAAUUAUAACAAUCAUAGCAGUACACAAACAGCUUAAUAAUAUGUUUUUGAUAAACAGAAGUAUAAUUAAAUAGAUAAUUUGAUAAAUAAAUGAAUUAGUUGGAUUGUUGUUUGGUUGGUUGUUUAAUUAAGAUCGAUUGAUUGGUUGAUUGAUUGAUUGAAAUUUAGAAUAAUAAAAAUAUUGUUACGUUAGAAAUAUCAAUAAUAGUGUAGUGUAUUGUUUUAUUUCGAUACGUACUCAUUCAAGUCAAUAUCAAGUAAAAUUUAAUGCUGUCGUACGAAUGCAAAAUUUAUCUAAUGAUGUGUAAUUUAAACUUGUUGUACUAUAAAUCUGAGAUAUGGUUAAUAAACAUUGUGAUAACA